rnacentral:lncRNA from 1 species
UGGGGGGUGGUGAUGGACCGGAAGGACUACUCAGCCUAGGCAUCUAGGUUUUGGGGGCCUCCUGUGGGACAAGGCCAGGGGUUCCAGGAGGCCUGGUGCCCGCCUGGGGCAGUUUAUCCUGAGAUUUUGGUGUUUUCUUGGUUUUAAUCUAAUUCUUUCCAGUGUUUUUGCCUUCAGCUCUUGCGGGCUUCCCAUGGGCCCUGGCUAUUGAAACCAAAUUUUGACCAGGACCCUUACAUGUGAGGCUUACAAAAGCAGCUGUCUUCUUAAAUGUUUUAAAAGAAACAAACAGCCCGAUCGUUCAUUGAGACUGAUCUCUGAACUCUCCUGGUUCAUUGAUGGGAUAGGUGAUACUGGUAGCUGUUAGCGUUGUUGUUUAUAAUAGGCCCAAGUUCACAGCAUCGGCCCUUGGGACCCAUGAGCUGAUAUCUAACCUUCUAAGGUCAAAGGGGAGUGGGCAGAGAGACAGGAGGCAGCCCUGAGGGGCCGAGGAUAGGUGGCACGAUGGCCGGUGAAGAAGAGCCUGUGUUUGUCGAGGGGGAAGGGCGGUGUCAUUUGCAGAGUUUGAGGAUUGUGUGACACCAGGUGUGAUCUUGGCUGGUCCAAUGUGGAGGGCCUCAGGACCUCUGUGCCCAGGAAGAGUGUGACACCCCCUGCUGGGCAAAGUGGUAAAGGUGUCUAGGGCCAUGGCUACCACCCUGCCCCUCCCUGCUCUCCACUCCCACAGAGAACCUGCCCACCCCCACCUCCAAUCAGUGUCUCAUUACCUCCCUCUCAGGCCCCACCCCCUGUCUUCGGAAAUGGGGCCCCACCCAUCCCAGCCAAGAAGCAGACCUCAGAGAUGGGCCUGGUGGCAAGGCACCCCCCCGCCCACCUGGGGCAGGCGAGCCUCUGCUUGUGGGCCAGCACAAGGGACCCAGGCAUUACAGAGCUGGAAGGCAGGCCCUCUGGCCGGUCUCCUCCUAACCUGAGUGCCAGCUGGAGCCAGUGUCCAUCCUCCUGCCAUCCACCAACAAGUCCCUCCAAGUCUGUCGUGGGGACAGUACUCCAAAGCCCUUCUCUAGGGUGUCCUGACUGGAGUGAGGGCCUCCCAGCCCUGGUAGGAGGCAGGUGGCAGAGCCUCUGCUGGUGUCUCUCCUGGGCCUUAGGGAGACUGACUUCUCCCAGGACUCCAGGGACAGGUUCUGGAAACUUUUCCUAGAAGCUAGAAGGGACCCUGAGGUCAGCUGGUUCCUCCUGUAGCUGGAGUAGAGCACUCCCAGUGGGACUCAGGCCUGGACUCUGGCCAGAGGGGAGGCCCAGGGUGGCAGAGUUCUGACUGUUUCCUGGAGGAGUCAUCUGGUGAUACCAUCUCAGUCUCUUCUUUGAACUUGGAAGUUUCACUUAUAAUCUCAGAACUUCAGAAGAAAAGCACUCUUCCCCCCACUUCACCAAAAAAGGGAAGCAGAUGAGGAUGCUGAGAUCCCCUCUGAGCGGGUCCCUGGGCUGACUCCAUGCUCAUCUUCAGGAGCUGGGAACAGCUCCCUCAACUUCACAGUGCACACGGGACACAGCCGGGGCCGCAGGCCUCAUCUCUGGCCAGGGCUCAUGGCUGGUGAAGUGAGGGUCCCUUCCUCUGGGGGCAGCAUGGGCAGCUUCAGCCGACGGCCUCUCUGACACAGUCCAUGGCCAGGGGUGCAGGCCCUGAAGGGCUGCUGGCAUCAUGGACCCACCAAACCUCUGAUCAUAGGUUAACAUGCCCUACGGCCCUGGACACAUCUAGGUCCUGAAGGCCUUCAGCCAUAAGGACGCCAGUGGUGGGAGAGCCAAGACUUCUCAGGAGGGGACAACAGGACCUCAGGACCCUCAGGGACCAUGUGGACCCCCUUUCCCCAACCAUAGUUCAGCCAAGGGCUGGAUCAAUCUGGACGUCUUUAGCAAUAAAAAAUGCCGAUGUCGUCCUAAUUCACCAGGCCCCGAGAUGACAGCAAAUUUACAUUUUUUAAUUAAACUAGCAGCCAGUUUUUAUGAGAGGGGGUUGGGUUAUGCAAA